CGGGAUAGCGGGUUCGUCGCUUCCGCACGCAUGAGGCGGAAGAGGAAAGUCCGGGCAACACAGAGCACCGCACUCCCCUCGGGGAGCUAUCGGCAACGGUAGAGCAAGUGUGACAGAAAACAACCGCCCAAGCGGCCUCCGGGCCGACGGCAAGGGUGAAAAGGCGGGGUAAGAGCCCACCGGGCGCCACAGCGAUAUGGCGUGCCGCACAUCUUGCGGGUUGCAAGGUCAAGUACACCGGCAGGGGACUUCGGUCCCGACGGGCUGCUCGCCCGGUGCCGGGGGGUAGACUGCUCAGAUAAAUGACGAACGGAACGGCCAGGCUCCGCUAUGCGCGACAGCAGGCCGACCACAUAACCCGGCUUAUACGCCGUCCCGCGUG
rnacentral:RNase_P_RNA from 1 species